UAAAUGUAUCUUCUGUAUCUACAACUUAACAUUUUCAUCUUUUGUUGUAGCUAAUACCUGAUGACAUGGAGUUCCAAUCUGGGGAUAUGCCAAACUACACAACUUCAGAUGGAUCAGUUAAGAUUCAAAAGGAUAGUGAAGUACGACUAAAGAUAAUUGGGACUCGAGUUGAUGCUACAGAAAUUUUCUGCAUCGGUACCAUAAAGGACGAUUUCCUGGGUGUGAUCAAUGAUCCAACAGGCGCUUAGUGGAGUUGCUCACAAGAAACUUCUAGUGCAUCAAACUUACCUUCUUGCAAUGUAUUACUGCUUACUGUAUGGUUCCAAGGGCAUUAACUUUGUCUUGGACCUUAAGAAUUACUGGUACCAUAUAUUGCUGAAUCACUGUAGUAGGUUUCUUUUUCAGGCAAUUGAAAUUAGAACCUUGGAAAUCAUUCUUUAUUUUCAAGCUUGAUGGUCGAGUCUACCGAGUCAAAACACGCUUGGGUUCAACUUGCAGAAUCUUUGAGUUCGAGUUUGAGCUCGAGCUUAUUCAAGUUUAUUUUGCACAUUAAUUUGAGAAUAGAUAAACUUGUCUGAAA